AUCGAACGCUGGCGGCAGGCCUAACACAUGCAAGUCGAACGAGUGGCGGACGGGUGAGUAAUGUCUGGGAAACUGCCUGAUGGAGGUGGAUAACUGCUGGAAACGGUAGCUAAUACCGAAUACCACCAGAGGUGCCCAGAUGGGAUUAGCUAGUUGGUGGGGUAACGGCUCACCAAGGAGACGAUCCCUAGCUGGUCUGAGAGGAUGACCAGCCACACUGGAACUGAGACACGGUCCAGAUUCCUACGGGAGGCAGAAGUGGGGAAUAUUGCACAAUGGGCGCAAGCCUGAUGCAGCCAUGCCGCGUGUAUGAAGAAGGCCUUCGGGUUGUAAAGUACUUUCAGCGGGGAGGCGUUACCCGCAGAAGAAGCACCGGCUAACUCCGUGCCAGCAGCCGCGAUAAUUC
rnacentral:rRNA from 1 species